AAAAAAUAACAGUAAAAAACAACAACAAUGAAAAAAUUUUUUGGAGAGGAGUAUCAAGUUUGUGAUGUGAAUUAGCAAUGCAAAACUGACCCUUAAACAAGUGAGGGUGGCAAGGACCAUAGCUCUUUGCUACCCAAGCUCGUGUGGGAAAGGUCGUGAGUGGAACACAGAGAGGCGCUCUUAGCACAUGAACGCAACCCCAGACCCCAAG
rnacentral:lncRNA from 1 species